rnacentral:rRNA from 1 species
CUCGUAGGCGGUUCGUCGCGUCGGAAGUGAAAUCCCAGAGCUUAACUCUGGGCCUGCUUUCGAUACGGGCGGACUUGAGUUCGGUAGGGGAGACUGGAACUCCUGGUGUAGCGGUGGAAUGCGCAGAUAUCAGGAAGAACACCAAUGGCGAAGGCAGGUCUCUGGGCCGAUACUGACGCUGAGGAGCGAAAGCGUGGGGAGCAAACAGGAUUAGAUACCCUGGUAGUCC